UACGAAGGGGGCUAGCGUUGCUCGGAAUCACUGGGCGUAAAGGGUGCGUAGGCGGGUCUUUAAGUCAGGGGUGAAAUCCUGGAGCUCAACUCCAGAACUGCCUUUGAUACUGAAGAUCUUGAGUUCGGGAGAGGUGAGUGGAACUGCGAGUGUAGAGGUGAAAUUCGUAGAUAUUCGCAAGAACACCAGUGGCGAAGGCGGCUCACUGGCCCCGAUACUGACGCUGAGGCACGAAAAGCGUGGGGAGCAAACAGGG
rnacentral:rRNA from 1 species